GACGAACGCUGGCGGCGUGCCUAAUACAUGCAAGUUGAGCGCUGAAGGUUGGUACUUGUACCAACUGGAUGAGCAGCGAACGGGUGAGUAACGCGUGGGGAAUCUGCCUUUGAGCGGGGGACAACAUUUGGAAACGAAUGCUAAUACCGCAUAAAAACUUUAAACACAAGUUUUAAGUUUGAAAGAUGCAAUUGCAUCACUCAAAGAUGAUCCCGCGUUGUAUUAGCUAGUUGGUGAGGUAAAGGCUCACCAAGGCGAUGAUACAUAGCCGACCUGAGAGGGUGGUCGGCCACAUUGGGACUGAUACACGGCCCAAACUCCUACGGGAGGCAGUAGUAGGGAAUGUUCGGAAAAGGACGAAAGUCUGACCGAGCAACGCCGCGUGAGUGAAGAAGGGUAUCGGAUCGUAAAACUCUGUUGGUAGAGAAGAACGUGAGUGAGAGUGGAAAGCUCAUCAAGUGACGGUAACUACCCAGAAAGGGACGGCUAACUACGUG
rnacentral:rRNA from 1 species